rnacentral:rRNA from 1 species
UACGUAGGGCGCAAGCGUUGUCCGGAAUUAUUGGGCGUAAAGAGCUCGUAGGCGGUUUGUCGCGUCUGCUGUGAAAACUCGGGGCUUAACUCCGGGCCUGCAGUGGGUACGGGCUGACUAGAGUUCGGUAGGGGAGACUGGAAUUCCUGGUGUAGCGGUGAAAUGCGCAGAUAUCAGGAGGAACACCGGUGGCGAAGGCGGGUCUCUGGGCCGAAACUGACGCUGAGGAGCGAAAGCGUGGGGAGCAAACAGG